rnacentral:rRNA from 1 species
GAUCCUGGCUCAGAAUCACAGCUGGCGGCGCGCCUAACACAUGCAAGUCGAGCGAGAAAGUGGAGCAAUCCAUCCGUAAAAAGCGGCGCACGGGUGAGUAACACGUGGAUAAUCUACCUUCUGGUGGGGAAUAACCUGGGGAAACCUGGGCUAAUACCGCAUAAGAGGAGUCCGAGAAAGCCGAAAGGCGUCAGAAGAGGAGUCCGCGGCCGAUUAGCUAGUUGGUGAGGUAAAAGCUCACCAAGGCGACGAUCGGUACCGGGCCUGAGAGGGCACACGGCCACACUGGCACUGAAACACGGGCCAGACUCCCUACGGGAGAGCGCAGUGGGGAAUCUUGCACAAUGGGGGAAACCCUGAUGCAGCGACGUGAACGAUGAAAGGGCCCUUCGGGGUGUAAAGUUCUUUCGGCAGGGACGAUCGCCGUAUGACUGUACCUGCAGAAGCAACGCUGCGGCUAACUACGUGCCAGCAGCCGCGGUAAUACGUAGGCAGCAAGCGUUGUUCGGAAUUACUGGGCGUAAAGAGUGCGUAGGUGGUUGGCCAAGUUUGGUGUGAAAUCUCCCGGCUUAACUGGGAGGGUGCGCCGAACCAACUGGCCGGCUAGAGUGUGGGAGAGGGAAGCGGAAUUCCAGGUGUAGCGGUGAAAUGCGUAGAUAUCUGGAGGAACGCCUGCGGUGUAGACGGCUUCCUGGACCAUGACUGACACUGAGGCACGAAAGCGUGGGUAGCAAACAGGAUAAUAGAUACCACUGGUAGUCCACGCCCUAAACGAUGCAGACUUGGUGUGCGCCCUUCAUUGGGUGCGUGCCGAAGCUAACGCGAUAAGUCUGCCGCCUGGGGAGUACGGUCGCAAGGCUGAAACUGGAAUUGACGGGGCCCGCACAAGCGGUGGAGCAUGUGGUUUAAUUCGACGCAACGCGAAGAACUCUUACCUGGGCUCGAAUGGUCCGGCAACGACUGUGGAAACAUGGUUACUUCCGCAAGGGAGGUCCAGUCGAGGUGCUGCAUGGCUGUCGUCAGCUCGUGUCGUGAGAUGUUGGGUUAAGUCCCGCAACGAGCGCAACCCUUGCCCUGUGUUGCCAUCAUUAAGUUGGGCACUCUCAGGGACCGCCAGCGAUAAGCUGGAGGAAGGUGGGAUGACGUCAAGUCCUCAUGGCCUUUAUGUCCAGGGCUACACACGUGCUACAAUGGCCGGUACAACGCGACGCCAACCCGCGAGGGGGAGCAAAUCAGCAAAAAACCGGUCUCAGUUCGGAUCGCAGGCUGCAAUUCGCCUGCGUGAAGCUGGAAUCGCUAGUAAUGCCGCAUCAGCAUGGCGGCGUGAAUACGUUCCCGGGCCUUGUACACACCGCCCGUCACAUCACGAAAGUGGGUUGUACUAGAAGUCCGCGUGCUAACCGAAAGGAGGCAGCGGCCCAAGUACUCAUGUAGGAUUGGGGUGAAGUCGUAACAAGGUAACC